UCCUCAACUCGGGUGUACAUCUUGG
rnacentral:piRNA from 1 species